rnacentral:rRNA from 1 species
CACGUAGGGUGCGAGCGUUGGCCGGAAUUAUUGGGCGUAAAGAGCUCGUAGGCGGUGUGUCGCGUCGGCCGUGAAAACCUGCAGCUUAACUGUGGGCUUGCGGUCGAUACGGGCAUCACUGGAGUUCGGCAGGGGAGACUGGAAUUCCUGGUGUAGCGGUGAGAUGCGCAGAUAUCAGGAAGAACACCCGUGGCGAAGGCGGCUCUCUGGGACGGUACUGACGCUGAGACGCGAAAGCGUGGGGAGCGAACAGG